GCUUCCUUAGCUCAGUCGGUAGAGCGCGAGUCUCAUAGCAUGAGGACGACUGAGUCUGUAAUCUCGAGGUCGCAAGUUCGAGCCUUGCAGGGAGCA